CCGCCUUGUCACGGCUACUGCGCAGGUUGUCGUGAGCGCGCGUUUGUUGUUUCGAUCGCAGAGUCAGACGCGCGCUCACGACAAACUGCGCGCUCUCGUGAGAGAGGAGAAAGCGCUUCAGCUCAGCGUCCAACUCCGAGCUUCUCCAAACCUGUUGCCUUCUUCACUCCUGUAUUAUUGGUGUUAUUAUGGACAUUUAAGCCCACAGGACAAGCGGAUACACCAGCAUCCGCCCUCCUGUGCACCUGUGACGGUAAAGUCCGUGUGAAUAACGGCAUCGAGCAGAAGAAGAGAAAUGAUGUAAAGAGGAAUAAAUGAGAGAAGGAGCAACAGCAGCGGAAACCUGCCGCCUGUCGGCUUUGAUGUUUCACACAAAACUAAAGUACAAGAACGGAAACGACACCAGGAGCCGAAACGGAAUGAAUUUUAAUACCACACACACACACACACACACACACACACACACACACACACACACACACACACACACACACACACACACACAGGUUGGGCUCUGAUCUCACAGAUCCAUGAAGCAUGUGGUUUUAUAAUCAUGGGCUAGAUGUUCACAUGAAACCACUUCACUACUGAAUCAACUACAAUGGAGUCGAAUUUUUGAUGGAUUUUUUUCUACAAUUUAUAAAAGUAGUCAGAUGUCACUUCUGGCUGUCGUCAUGUGAACUCGUCUUCUCCGUCUCUGCACACAGUCCGGAAUAAAACGAGAGCAAAGCUGAACCACAUAAACUGAGGUUUAAAUGGAUUCGUUGUUAAAUCCGAUUCCUAAAGUACAGAUUAAUCUUGAUGCUGAACUUCAUCAUUGAUGGAGUUUCACCCCGAGGAACAUGACUCGUGUUUGAUUUCCAUCUUCUCAGUGGGUUUUUCACUGCUAACCCUUCCCACGACGAGCAGGUCUAUAUGGCCGACGAGCGUUCGGCGCCCGCAUGCUUCCAGCUAAAGAUGGUGACGUUUGGCUCGAACCCUCUCAAAACUCCAUGAUGGCCAACCCGAGGAAGAUGGACCUGAUCAUCCCACGCUUUUAUGAUGUGCCGUGCGACAGUAACGGCCAGCGCAUGUGGUGGGCCUUCCUCGCCUCAUCCAUGGUCACGUUCUUUGGUGGUCUCUUCAUCAUCCUGCUGUGGAGGACGAUGCGGUAUCUGUGGACCGUGUGUUGCCACUGUAACCCCAAAAAAAAGGAUGUUCAGAGGGUCAGCAGCGUGGAGAAGAAGGACAGUACAGUGGUCAGUGAGGUGGGCUGGAUGACCUCGGUGAAGGACUGGGCCGGGGUCAUGAUCUCCGCACAGACGCUCACCGGACGUGUCCUGGUGGUGCUGGUGUUUGUCCUCAGUAUUGCAGCACUCAUCAUUUACUUCAUCGACUCCUCCAAUCCGAUUGAGUCGUGUCAGCACUUUGAUAAAGAUUUCACACUGCAGAUUGACAUGGGCUUCAACAUCUUCUUCCUGCUCUACUUUGGACUGCGUUUUAUCGCAGCGAAUGAUAAGCUGUGGUUCUGGUUGGAGGUGAAUUCGGUGGUGGAUUUCUUCACCGUGCCGCCAGUGUUUGUGUCUGUGUAUCUGAACAGGAGCUGGCUGGGUCUGAGGUUUCUAAGAGCCUUACGGUUGAUUCAGUUCUCUGAAAUAUUACAGUUUCUAAACAUCUUAAAAACCAGCAACUCUAUAAAGUUGGUGAACUUGUGCUCCAUCUUUAUUAGCACAUGGCUAACGGCUGCAGGCUUCAUCCACCUGGUGGAAAAUUCAGGCGAUCCGUGGGAAAACUUUCAGAACUUCCAGCAACUGUCCUACUGGGAGUGUGUGUAUUUACUGAUGGUGACGAUGUCCACCGUGGGAUAUGGAGACGUGUGCGCUAAAACCACGCUGGGGCGCCUCUUCAUGGUCUUCUUCAUCCUCGGUGGACUGGCCAUGUUUGCCAGCUACGUGCCUGAAAUCAUAGAAUUAAUAGGAAACCGUAAGAAAUAUGGCGGUUCCUAUAGUGCAGUAAAUGGGAGAAAGCACAUUGUGGUGUGUGGUCACAUCACUCUGGAAAGUGUUUCUAACUUCCUCAAAGACUUCCUUCACAAGGACAGGGACGAUGUCAAUGUAGAAAUUGUUUUUCUCCAUAAUAUUUCCCCUAAUCUUGAGUUGGAAGCCUUGUUCAAGCGCCACUUCACUCAGGUAGAGUUCUACCAGGGUUCCGUCCUGAAUCCACAUGACCUGGCCCGAGUCAAGAUCGAGUCAGCAGACGCAUGUUUAAUUUUAGCUAAUAAAUACUGCGCGGACCCCGACGCCGAGGACGCGUCCAACAUCAUGAGAGUGAUAUCUAUAAAAAACUACCACCCGAAGAUCCGCGUCAUCACGCAGAUGCUGCAGUAUCACAAUAAGGCUCACUUGUUGAACAUUCCGAGCUGGAACUGGAAGGAAGGUGAUGAUGCGAUUUGUCUGGCGGAGCUGAAGCUGGGAUUCAUCGCUCAGAGCUGCCUAGCGCAGGGGCUCUCCACCAUGCUGGCUAAUCUCUUCUCCAUGAGGUCUUUCAUUAAGAUUGAAGAGGACACGUGGCAGAAGUAUUACCUGGAAGGAGUAGCUAAUGAAAUGUACACCGAGUUCCUGUCCAGUGCCUUUGUGGGUUUAUCCUUCCCCAUGGUGUGUGAGAUUUGUUAUGUGAAGCUGAAGCUCCUCCUGAUAGCCAUCGAGUAUAAAACUGAUCAGAGAGAGAGCAGUACACUCAUUAACCCAGGCAAUCAUGUGAAGAUGCAUGAAGGAACUCUGGGUUUCUUUAUUGCCAGCGAUGCCAAAGAAGUAAAGAGAGCUCUUUACUACUGCAAAGCUUGUCAUGAUGACAUCACAGACCCGAAAAGGAUAAAGAAGUGCGGAUGCAAACGACUGACAUUUUCCAAGAUGACAGGCAGCCGCCGAAUGCGACUAGUGUGUUGUUUAUGUUGCGGCGAGGCUGAGCACGGCUGCUCGUGCACAUCUCGCAGCACACGUAGUAAUGUGGAGACUCCUCCGUGCGCCCUGCCUCUUUCUCCCGUCUCUGUUAGUGAUAAGUUGGCCGCUUUACGUUCCUCUAAAAGUAACUAUAACGGAUAUAUCAAAUCGACGAUGGACGCCCCGGUGGUGCAGCAGUCCACUCUGUCACCUAAGAAAAAACCACGCAAUGGAGGAAUGAGAACUUCACCAAACUGCUCUCCAAAAACUAUACGACUCUUGUCAAUGUCCAGACACGACCCUGUGUUGAUCCCCAGCCACGAUCAGAUGGAGACGAUGGAUGAUAACGUGAAGAGGUACGACUCUACCGGAAUGUUCCACUGGUGUCCAUCAAGAGACAUUGAGAAGGUCGUACUGACUCGUAGUGAAGCAGCCAUGACGGUUCUAAGCGGUCAUGUGGUAGUGUGUGUUUUCGGGGACGUGAAGUCCGCUGUGGUGGGUCUGAGGAACCUGGUGAUGCCUCUGAGAGCGAGUAACUUCCACUACCAUGAGCUAAAACACAUCGUGUUUGUGGGAUCACUGGAGUACUUGAAGAGGGAGUGGGAGACGUUACACAACUUCCCUAAAGUCUCCAUAUUACCUGGCACUCCUCUGAGCAGAGCAGAUCUGAGAGCCGUCAACAUUAACCUGUGUGACAUGUGUGUGAUUCUGUCGGCCAAUCAGAACAACAUCGAUGAUGCGUCUCUGCAGGAUAAAGAGUGUAUUCUCGCCUCGCUCAACAUCAAAUCCAUGCAGUUUGAUGACAGUAUAGGUCUUCUACAGGCUAACUCACAGGGUUUCACUCCACCCGGGAUGGACCGCUCGUCUCCUGAAAACAGUCCUGUUCAUGGUCUGGAGCGACAAACUUCCAUCAGCACUGGAGCUAACAUCCCCAUUAUCACUGAGCUUGCUAAAUCAGACAGGCUGCUGAACGCAGUGUGUGUAAGACAGGACAAAAGUUGUGGCACCAACAUUCCAAUGAUUACUGAACUGGUAAAUGACUCAAAUGUUCAGUUCCUGGAUCAGGAUGAUGACGAUGAUCCAGACACUGAGCUCUACCUCACACAGCCCUUCGCCUGUGGAACUGCCUUCGCCGUCAGCGUGCUUGACUCCCUAAUGAGUGCCACCUACUUUAAUGACAAUAUCCUGACGUUAAUAAGGACGUUAGUGACGGGUGGAGCCACGCCCGAGCUUGAAGGUUUGUUAGCGGAGGAGAACGCACUACGUGGUGGCUACAGCGACACACACACACUCGCCAACAGGGACCGGUGUCGAGUGGCACAGCUGGCCCUGUACGACGGGCCAUUCGCCCAGCUCGGGGAAGGAGGGUGUUACGGUGAUUUAUUCUGUAAAGCGUUAAAGACCUACAACAUGCUGUGUUUCGGGAUUUACCGUUUAAGGGACGCUCACCUGAGCGCGCCGAGUCAGUGCACCAAACGCUAUGUGAUCACCAAUCCUCCGUACGAGUUCGAGUUGGUCCCCACAGACCUGAUCUUCUGUUUGAUGCAGUUUGAUCACAAUGCAGCUCACUGUCGCUCCACACUCUCACACUCCUCACACUCCUCACACUCGUCCAGUAAAAAAAGCUCCUCUGUGCACUCCAUCAGCGCCAAACACGCCAAGACCCGAGAGCCACGAGACAAACCCAAUUGCUGAGCGAAUGUGGACUGUGUCUAUGUGCACCGUGGAUGAGUUGAGAGGUCACAGGCCCAGUCCAGGUGUGCGCUCAGUCCACCAAUCAAACGCAAGAGGAAGUGAAGUGAGAGAGGACCAAUCACGGAGCAGGAAAUGUCUGGAGUUCCAGACCAGAGAUGAGCUGCUUUGAGUGCGAGAUCAUGAACCUGGCAGUAAUGAAUCAUCAUCAUUCACUUUGAGCUGUGAGCAGUUAUUAGUCACCUGACUGCUGGACGUCAUCAUCAUCAUCAUCAUCAUCAUCACCACACAAACACAGAUACAUUAUCAGGCUUCUACUGACCCAAUGUGCAGAUGUUAAAAUGUGCUAUAAUUGUAAAAAGGGGCGUGGUCAAUUAAAGUCUUUCUUUUCUUGACCAUUGUGAAGUGUGUAACCUGACAAAGAGGUGUGUUAUUGUAAAAAGGGGUGUGGCUAAUUCUUGAGCAUGUUUGCAGACAUAAACCUAACAGAGUGGUGGAAUCAGAAAAAGAUCUGGUGUGGUCCAUUUAUUUUUGGGAUUUUCUUGACAAUCAAAAAGCAUAACAUGUUGAUUGUAAACAAAGUGGUGGUGGUGGGGGGGAGUAACCUCUCAGACAGCUUGUGUUGAGUAUCAGUUCAGUCAGUAAGCUAAUGUGUGGUGUUGGAGUAUAAAGGGGCGUGGCUUAGUGUCACAACAAAUCCUCCUGCUCUUCUCAUAUAUCCACCUCAGGGUCAGACAUACAGUACAUCUGAGAUGUAUGUGUAAAUGGGCAGGGGCGGGCGGGGUCAGGGUGUGGUCAGGGUGGGUCAGGGUGUGGUCAGGGUGGGUCAGGGUGUGGUCAGGGGAGAUUCUGUGAGUGAAAGGGUUGUGACAUGCUGUAAAUAUCCCAGAAAGUCAUUUUGCCCAGAAAAGGUCAGGUCUAAAUAUCGGCCGUGCGUUUUAGAAUUUCUACCCACAUCGAUUUCUGGAUCACAGAAUAAAUGAAUGUAAACACAAAACAGAUACAAAACACUUUUUCCUCAUGCAUGAGGGAAUAAACCAUGUGCAGGGUAAUAAAACAAAGCUUUACUAUGAGAGCGAUUCACUUAAAGGUGGUUUAAUCCUGAAACUCAGCAUGCGGCUAAUUGUUAGCGCUAAACUGUAACUGGUCUGCAUGUUAGAGAUGAAUGUGUGAAGAGGCAGACUGCUCAUUAGCAUCGAGCGCUUCACCCUUCACUAGCAUAAAAAAUUCACACACAGAAUUUCAAUCUUUUCAAAGCUUUAGCAUGCAAAUUCAUUUUCCGCAAUUCACCGAUCUGCAAACGUGGAACACGUGAUGCCUUAAAUCCAAUACAUAUACACAGGAAAAAAGAUUCUUAGCAAACCUGCUAAAUAUCAAUGUUGCCUUAGUGUCAUGAUUUAGUCUGUAAUCAACUUUAUACGUUUAUCUUUAACUUCAUUAACAUUUUACAUUUACUACCAAAAACAGGCUGCUAGCUAGUUGGCUAAUAUGGAAAUGUACCUUGUGUUACUUUUACUAGCUAACGCCACAAUACUAGGGAAAUGAACAUGUGUUUGUGUUGUAUUGAAUGAGCUCUUUUCUGUUGCCUGUGUUUAAAAUAAACACGUCUAUGUUUUAGCUCCUGUAGUUUGGGUAAUUUAUGUUAGCAGUGUGCUAAUUUUUUAUUCAGUAAAAGACAGGAAUGAUUCAAGUUUACAUUUAACUGUAAAAACUGAUCUCCCAGCUGAUGUUAGCAUGAGGGAUAACUGGCUACACUUGCUAGCUAACAGCAAAAUAACCUGAGCGUUUAUUUUUUAUUAACACAGGUUUCAUUUUGAAUGAUAAAAUAUUUCCUCUUGAUGAUGAUGUUUUUUAAACACUGACAUCUCAUAGCUUAACACAAUUUUUUUAGCUAACUGCUAGCCAGUAAUUAUAUAUGUUUAUCUUAUAUGUUUAAUGAGUAGAUUUAAAAUGAAGUCAAUUAUUUUACUGCUAGCUAAUAUUAGCCAGAUGAAAACAUGGCUAAUCUCACUACCUGAUAGUGAAUUAAUGGUGCAUCCUAUUAACACUUUUUACUUCAAAUAUUUAGCACUGUGAUGACAAAAGUUUUAAUCGUAAUUUGAAAUAAAUCUUUGCUUACUGUCUUCAGCCGUAGAUUUAGCUCCAUCUGCUUUAACUAACUAGCACAGACUGAACAAUGAGAUGCUAUGUUGCUAACUAACUUGCAAUCACUGCUAAUUAAACAUUAAAAAAGAUCCUAUUAAUAAUAAUAAGCUAAAUAAAUGUGUUGCCACGUGUUGCAAAGUGGGAGUGAGGAUGUCCUGGUUUGGUCUCUUCAGUUUGGCGUGAAGACGCUCAUGAGCUUGAGGUUUUCAGCUGAGAUCACAUUGCUAGUUUGUGCUAUACACAGUAACAGUGACUCAGUUAAGUUCUGUUUGUGUUUCAUGAACUGUUUGUUUCUGUUUGUGCUACUUAAACUCAAAUGCUUAUUAAUAAGUGGGCGUGGCUAGCUAACACCAAAUUAACACAUGCUCAAUAGUGCUACAGCAAACAGAAGCCAUGGAGAAACCAUCAAUCAUCUGUCCAUAUGAAGCUACUGUAUUUCCUUCCUUUUGGCCACGCCCACUUCAGGUUAGAUUUAGAGUGGUUAAGAUGUCCUCCCCAUUUCAGUUCAGUUUGUCUUAUGUUAAAGUUUGAAUCCUGCAGUAAGUGUCUUCUCCUUCAUGUCCCUCCAGUUAGAAGCGUUAUGUAAAGAACUUUGUGGAACCUUCACCUUUAAGAGUUUUUUGCUUCAGUCUGCUGUCCAGCUGCUUCUCAGGUUCCACUCCCUCACAACAGGUUCUAGAGUUCAGAGACUGGGUUCUUGUCAGACUGAAGUGACCAAACAGGUGAUUAAACUCACUUGAUCAAGAAGUGGCAGCCAUGAAGAUGAUGAACUAGCUUCUACUGUUAGGGAACUACUAAAACGACUAGCAUGCUAAUUCAGAUGAUUAACUUAGAUGCGAAAUGAUGAGACAUUUUGAUACUAACAUUUUUUCAUGCAGAUUUUAGAGAAUAUCUUCUAAAUAUUUAAAAAUCAGUGAGGUUCCUCUACACGUUCUCCUCCUGGUUCUCCUGCUAAUACUGUAAUUGCUCACGACUGGUUACGUCCUAAACAGACCGUUAGCUUGAGUCAGCAAGAAAGGAAUUACACAAACAUGUAAAACCAGCCAGCUGCAAGUGAACUCUGUUGUUAUUUUUUCCUGUUCUCGUGUGUCUAAGUGAGGUUUAGGACGAGUGAAAAUCCAGUCCUGAAUAUUUACUGCGAUCAGAUCGUCCACAUUCUUCUUUUUUAAUGUUUUUUUUGUAAUAAGAAACGUGGGUUUGAUUUUCCAGCCUCA